rnacentral:lncRNA from 1 species
AGCCGUUCUGCCUUACAGGGUUGGGACCCCGGAAGCUUAUCGGCGCGGUUGCGGCCGCGGCUCCCUGUGUUUUGAUCAGAACACCACGUUCCUGCUUAACAGAAAUUGCAUACUCUGUACUCUAACUAAUAGAGGGAGGUUCCCAGAAGAAAAUCCUGGAUAAGCAGAACUCAGAGCAGGAACCAAAAGAGCUCCAGGUAUCUACAGGGCACCCCAAUGGGAUGAACCAUCCUCAGUAUCCUCUAAGAAGAGUCUGAUUUUCUAGUUUGAGUUCUGUAUUCUUCUACAAUCUGUAUUUAUAUGCAUACCUAUUUUUAUUUUUGUUAUUUAUUUAUUUUUUGAGACGAAGUUUCGCUCCGCUUGCCCAAGCCAGAGUGCAAUGGUGUGAUCUCAGCUCAUUGCAACCUCCGCCUCCUGGGUUCAAGUGAUUCUCCUGCCUCAGCCUCCAGAGCAGCUGGGAUUACAGGCACGUGCCACCAUGCCCAGCUAAUUUUUUGUAUUUUUAGUAGAAACGGGGUUUCACCAUGUUAGCCAGGCUGGUCUCGAACUCCUGAUCUUAGGUGAUCCACCCGCCUCAGCCUCCCAAAGUGCUGGGCUUACAGGCAUGAGCCACCACGCCCGGCCAUGCAUACCUAUUUUUAUUAUAAUUAUGUUGUAAAUAAAACAUCUGUGUCUUGCUUUUCUUUCCCACAUGUUACUAUGUUUUUGGUGGCAGUAUAAUCUUUUAUUAUUAUUAUUAUUUGAGACAGAGUCUUGCUCUGUCUCCCAGGGUGGAGUGCAGUAGCGCGUCUCAGCUCACUGCAACCACCACCUUCCCAGUUCAAAUGAUUCUCCUGCUUUAGCCUCCUGAGUAGCUGGGACUACAGGCAGGCUUCACCACACCCAGCUAAUUUUUGUAUUUUUAGUAGAGAUGGGGGUUUCACCAUGUUGGCCAGGCUGGUCUCGAACUCCUGGCCUCAGGUGAUCUGCCCGCCUCCCAAAGUGCCGGGAUUACAGGUGUGAGCCACUGCUCCCGGCCAGGUGGCCCUAUAAUCUUUUGAUUUGGUGCAUCAUAAUUUAUGACUAUUUAAAUUGAACCACUAUCAGUCACACUAAUCACUUUACUAUUCUAUAUAUUUCACCUUUAUUGUUUUAUGAAUUAGUGAUCGGCAUAGUAUCCAGUGCUAAGUCAGUUAUGCACAACCUCGAAUCAGCCGUUUGCUUUUUUUUUUUUUUUUUUUUUUUUUGAGACGGAGUCUCGCUCUGUCGCCAAAGCUGUAGUGCAGUGACGCGAUCCCAGCUCACUGCAAGCUUCGGCUCCCGGGUUCACGCCAUUCUCCUGCCUCAGCCUCUCGAGUAGCUAGCUGGGACUACAGGAGCCCGCCACCACGCC